rnacentral:rRNA from 1 species
CUUGAAAUACCACCCUUUAAUGUUUGAUGUUCUAACGUUGACCCGUAAUCCGGGUUGCGGACAGUGUCUGGUGGGUAGUUUGACUGGGGCGGUCUCCUCCUAAAGAGUAACGGAGGAGCACGAAGGUUGGCUAAUCCUGGUCGGACAUCAGGAGGUUAGUGCAAUGGCAUAAGCCAGCUUGACUGCGAGCGUGACGGCGCGAGCAGGUGCGAAAGCAGGUCAUAGUGAUCCGGUGGUUCUGAAUGGAAGGGCCAUCGCUCAACGGAUAAAAGGUACUCCGGGGAUAACAGGCUGAUACCGCCCAAGAGUUCAUAUCGACGGCGGUGUUUGGCACCUCGAUGUCGGCUCAUCACAUCCUGGGGCUGAAGUAGGUCCCAAGGGUAUGGCUGUUCGCCAUUUAAAGUGGUACGCGAGCUGGGUUUAGAACGUCGUGAGACAGUUCGGUCCCUAUCUGCCGUGGGCGCUGGAGAACUGAGGGGGGCUGCUCCUAGUACGAGAGGACCGGAGUGGACGCAUCACUGGUGUUCGGGUUGUCAUGCCAAUGGCACUGCCCGGUAGCUAAAUGCGGAAGAGAUAAGUGCUGAAAGCAUCUAAGCACGAAACUUGCCCCGAGAUGAGUUCUCCCUGACCCUUUAAGGGUCCUGAAGGAACGUUGAAGACGACGACGUUGAUAGGCCGGGUGUGUAAGCGCAGCGAUGCGUUGAGCUAACCGGUACUAAUGAACCGUGAGGCUUAACCUU